CUUUGGCAACCUCAUAAGAUUUUAACAUUACAAAAUGCUGUGUAAUGGCGGGCACAACAAAAAAAAACUUCGAAUAUUGGAGAUCGAAGAUAUCAAAUUCGAAAAUGGAAAUCGAAUUAUAACUUUAAAAUCUAGAAAUGUCUCUUAUUAAUGAUUCGGAAAUAUAAAAAACUUGGUUAUGUUAUUAUUCUUCGUUGGUUCGUUUAAUGGAAAACACUUUGCUACAAGAAAUAAUUGAAAUUUUAUAACGAAUUUAAUAAAAUGUUUUUAUCAUUAUAUAUAAAGAAUUAAUGGCAAGAACAAGUUAUAUACAACCUCAACUCAUAUGGGACUACCCCCUGAAUAUUAAUUAGGGGAGGAAAAGACUCUAACAAGGAUUUUCUUAGUAGCGGCGAGCGAAAAGAAAACAGUUCAGCACUAAGUCACUUUGUCUAUAUGGCAAAUGUGAGAUGCAGUGUAUGGAGCGUCAAUAUUCUAGUAUGAGAAAUUAACGCAUAAAAGCUGCCAGGCCUGUAUAAAGUUAAUGAUUACUAGAUGAUGUUUCCAAAGAGUCGUGUUGCUUGAUAGUGCAGCACUAAGUGGGUGGUAAACUCCAUCUAAAACUAAAUAUAACCAUGAGACCGAUAGUAAACAAGUAAACAAAUAAUUAUCAUUGAUUUUUGUGUUUAUUAUAUGCACUUGUAUGAUUAACAAUGCGAAAGAUUUAGGAUACCUUCGGGACCCAUCUUGAAACACGGACCAAGGAGUCUAGCAUAUGUGCAAGUUAUUGAGAUAUAAACCUAAUAGCGUAAUUAACUUGACUAAUAAUGGGAUUAGUUUUUUAACUAUUUAUAGCUAAUUAACACAAUCCCGGGGCGUUCUAUAUAGUUAUGUAUAAUGUAUAUUUAUAUUAUUUAUGCCUCUAACUGGAAAGUACCUUGAGCAUAUAUGCUGUGACCCGAAAGAUGGUGAACUAUACUUGAUCAGGUUGAAGUCAGGGGAAACCCUGAUGGAAGACCGAAACAGUUCUUGCAAAUCGAUUGUCAGAAUUGAGUAUAGGGGCGAAAGACCCUAUCCGAAGCUAUCCGAAAGGGUAGCUGGUGCAUUUUAAUAUUAUAUAAUAUCUUAUCUGGUAAAGCGAAUGACCUUAGGGUCGAAACGAUCUUAACCUAUUCUCAAACUUUAAGUGGGUAAGAACCUUAACUUUCUUGAUAUGAAGUUCAAGGUUAUGAUAUAAUGUGCCCAGUGGGCUACUUUUGGUAAGCAGAACUGGCGCUGUGGGAUGAACCAAACGUAAUGUUACGGUGCCCAAAUUAACAACUCAUGCAGAUACCAUGAAAGGCGUUGGUUGCUUAAAACAACAGGACGGUGAUCAUGGAAGUCGAAAUCCGCUAAGGAGUGUGUAACAACUCAUCUGCCGAAGCAACUAGCCCUUAAAAUGGAUGGCGCUUAAGUUGUAUACCUAUACAUUACCGCUAAAGUAAAUUAUUUAUAUUACUUGUGAUAUAAAUUUUGGAACUUUAGUGAGUAGGAAGGUACAAUGACGCGCAUGAAUGGAUUAACGAGAUUGCUACUGUCCCUAUCUACUUACUUGUGGCAGAGCUUUUUCGCCGGCCGAAGAGCAGUAAUCCGAAGCGGUUCCGGUGCAGUGAAUGUCGCGGUA
rnacentral:rRNA from 1 species